AGGGAGGCUGCUGGUCCAUGAGCGGGGCAAGGUGCUCAAGGACUUGUGCCUCUCUGUGGCACUCUCCAAGAUGCUCAACCGAAGGUUUAUUGGCUUCAGACUCUCAGAGGCGGGGCAUGAGAAAGCCCAUGACUUUGUGUUCAAAGGCCUGCUCGCCGGGGACAAGCCACAUCAGAGGGCCUUCAGGGUCAUCGAGGAAGAGCUUGUUUUUGUCCAUGACUUAUAUUACACAAGGUAUUCUUACCUUUACCAAAAGGGUCGAUACAUUGCCCUCUGUCUGCCCAUCGUCAUGCUUGGCUUAUGC
rnacentral:lncRNA from 1 species